rnacentral:rRNA from 1 species
GGUUAAGCUAGUAAGAGCACACGGAGGAUGCCUAGGCGCCAGGAGCCGACGAAGGACGUGGCGAACGACGAUAUAGCCUCGGGGAGCUGUAAGCAAGCAUCGAUCCGGGGAUGUCCGAAUGGGGAAACCCGGCUGUCAUAAUAGGCAGUCACUCGCACCUGAAUCUAUAGGGUGUGAAGAGGCAUACGAGGGGAACUGAAACAUCUAAGUACCCUCAGGAAGAGAAAACAAUAGUGAUUCCGUCAGUAGCGGCGAGCGAACGCGGAAGAGCCUAAACCGGAGAGCUUGCUCUCCGGGGUUGUGGGACGUCUCACAUGGAGUCAGAAAGGUGUUUAUUAGACGAAGAGUCCUGGAAAGACUCGCCGUAGAAGGUAAUAGCC